AGAGUUUGAUCCUGGCUCAGAUUGAACGCUGGCGGCAGGCCUAACACAUGCAAGUCGAACGGUAACAGGAAGAAGCUUGCUUCUUUGCUGACGAGUGGCGGACGGGUGAGUAAUGUCUGGGAAACUGCCUGAUGGAGGGGGAUAACUACUGGAAACGGUAGCUAAUACCGCAUAACGUCGCAAGACCAAAGAGGGGGACCUUCGGGCCUCUUGCCAUCGGAUGUGCCCAGAUGGGAUUAGCUAGUAGGUGGGGUAACGGCUCACCUAGGCGACGAUCCCUAGCUGGUCUGAGAGGAUGACCAGCCACACUGGAACUGAGACACGGUCCAGACUCCUACGGGAGGCAGCAGUGGGGAAUAUUGCACAAUGGGCGCAAGCCUGAUGCAGCCAUGCCGCGUGUAUGAAGAAGGCCUUCGGGUUGUAAAGUACUUUCAGCGGGGAGGAAGGGAGUAAAGUUAAUACCUUUGCUUAUUGACGUUACCCGCAGAAGAAGCACCGGCUAACUCCGUGCCAGCAGCCGCGGUAAUACGGAGGGUGCAAGCGUUAAUCGGAAUUACUGGGCGUAAAGCGCACGCAGGCGGUUUGUUAAGUCAGAUGUGAAAUCCCCGGGCUCAACCUGGGAACUGCAUCUGAUACUGGCAAGCUUGAGUCUCGUAGAGGGGGGUAGAAUUCCGGGUGUAGCGGUGAAAUGCGUAGA
rnacentral:rRNA from 1 species